rnacentral:lncRNA from 1 species
UUCACUACAGGGGAAAGAAACGAAAAAAAAUUAGUUAAGCAAAGCCCGCCCAUGGCCUACCCCUCCUACUCUUCCAUACCAGUGAAAGAAGUUAUUCUUUCGAAUAGGCCUAACCCUUGGGGAGAGGGUUAUGUUAUUGGGUUAUAAAGAGGGACUCCCACCUAACUCAACCAUAAGGAGACAUUUAGAAUAGUGAUUUAUUAUGAAGACUUUUACUAGCAAGUAAGUG